GACGAACGCUGGCGGCGUGCUUAACACAUGCAAGUCGAACGGAAAGGCCAUGCUUUUGUGGGGUGCACGAGUGGCGAACGGGUGAGUAACACGUGAGUAACCUGCCCUUGAAUUUGGGAUAACUUCACGAAACUGGGGCUAUUACCGGAUAGGAGAUCCUGCUGCAUGGGGGGGGAUGGUAAGUUACGGCGGUUGUGGAUCGAAUCGCGGCUUAUGCGCUACAUGGUGGGGUUGUUGCUUACCAAGGUUAUGAAGGGUAGGCGGCCUUGGAGGGUGGCCGGGCACAUGGGGACUGAGAUACGGCCCAGACUCCUACGGGCGGCAGAAGUGGGGAAUAUUGCGCAAUGGGCGGAAGCCAGAUGCAGCAACGCCGCGUGCGGGAUGACGGCCUACGGGUUGUAAACCGUUGUCGCCUGUGACGAAGCGUGAGUGACGGUAAUGGGUAAAGAAGCACCGGCUAACUACGUG
rnacentral:rRNA from 1 species